CUAAAAGAUCAACAUAUCUAGAAGUCAUAAAUAUAAUUUAUAAAAAUGUUAAUAAUAAUAUCGGGAACUAUGAUUUGCUGCCGGACUGCUGGCAUAUAGAGUACAUUUAUGGUGCAACGGAGACAGAUUGUGUUGAAUUUUGAAGAAACGACGCUUUCAACAAUUGAGCUGGACUGACUAUGCGGAUGCCACAUGCGAGAGCAGUUGCGUGCAACCGCAGCAGAAUUGAAGUUUUAAUUUAAAUUUUAGGGCAAUGUUGUUGUAAUUUAUUAAGCUUGCCAUGAAACUGACUGCACUACACCGCAAAAUUGUCAACAGGCGGGCCUCACAUACGCGCACACAAGCAUGCAUUUAAAGAGCCGCAGACACGCACGUGUGCUGCAAAAAACGGAAACGGAAACAGCAGCGCGGUCGUCUUUUGAGUGUGUGUGUGUGUGUGUGUGUAUGGGUGUGUAUGGGUGUCUGUUUGCAUUGGUGUUUGUACGGGCUUUGACAAAUAUUUCGUGUGUACGUGAGCCAGUGCCCGUGUGAGUGUGUGUGUGUGUGCUUUGCCGGAUGCGAAAGUUUGUUGCUGCAAAUAAAAGGUUUCGAAAUUAGCAAGUAAAAUAUGCACACAAAUGCCAGGUGUAUGUGUGUACAGCAUUAACGGAAACGGACUCUUGUGUUUGAAAUUAUUUGAAAUUAUUUUGAAUUCACAUUACAUAUUUGUCGGAUUAGCAGACACUGUAAUUAA